GGCCUCCCAAUGUGGAAGCCUUGAGGACUUUCUCCUCUUUUUCUGGCUGUUCCCAGAAAUCGGGGAGAAGCUGGGUCCGGUGUCUGCAGCUACUGAGCCUCUGUACCCCGAGUCUCCAUCACCCCCAACCCCGGCUCCAAUCCUGAGAGUCACUUCAGAUGUCCUGGAGUGAGGUGGCCAGGUGGCCAGUGGCCCAGAUGGGAGUUUCAGUGACGAGGAUGUGAAGCCAAGAGGACCCUGGAUGCGGAGGAGAGCUGGAAAUUAGGGGACAUACCGCGGGACCACUUAUUGUAGCAGAUGGCAUUAUUCCCAAUUCUUCACCCCUCUCUGUAUCCGGAUCUUAUGCCAGAACACCCACUCCUGGAAGGCGGGCUGGCGCUGCUCAUUCAUCCUGACUCCCAGGGCCAGCUCAGUGCUUGGCACUCAGUGGGCCUUCGGCACAUUCGCCCUUGAGUGAAUGAAUGAAAAGGCUUUGGACUCCGGAUCACCAGUGCCUGCUCAGAUGUAUGCCAACUCAGCCAUUCUUCAUAUCUCAUCACAAGAAGGUGCUGUGGACAUCUCGGUUUUUUAGCAUCUGCUUCCCAUGUUCCUUUCCUGCUCCAUGCUGCCUUGACUGCUGCGGGCCCACACCCACCUCCGCCUCCUGGCUCACUCCUUACACUGGACUGUGAGCACAGUGUUCUCUGGGUGCCACCUUCUCCUCCGACCUUGGGCUGACAUCUGAGCAGUGGUCCUUACCUGGGGAGGACUUUCCCCUUUGGUGGACACUGGGCAUUGUCCAGACAGGAUGGGGAGUGUGACAGCGGCUCACAUUUCCCCAGCACUCAUCCCGGGCCAACCAUUGGAUCUACAUCGCGCCAUUCAGUCCUCUCAGCAGCCUACGAAGUGGCUUCUGUUAGCUCUCCAUUUUACAGAUGAGCAAACUGAGACUUCCUUAGUCCAGAGUCAAAAGCAAGUACGUGGGAGUCACAGGGGAUCGAUAUUCAACUUUUAAUAUUGAGAGAAGGAGUUUUUGAGUCUGUAGGAGGAUGAUUGACAUAUGGGGAGUGGAUGUACGGCGUCUGUUAAGGGAGAGAGUGGAAAUCUUUUCCACUUUUUGGGCUGAACCAGGAGGCCGAAUGCCUAGGGAGGAAGUCCAGGGUGUAGGAAAGUCCAGGUCAGAAAGAAUGAAGACUAGAGUUGGCCUUCUCCACCUCGGGGGAUUGUGGGAGGGAGACAGAGAGGAAGAAACGCAGAGGGAGGUGAGAAGCCGGUGACAUCACCUGUGAGCUGAGUGCCAGCUCAGGGGCCCUGUUGAGAAAGCUAGUGAGGAACAUGGGGGUGGGCAGGGGGCUUCUGCCCCAUUUUUGUUUGAGUUUCUGGGAGGAGACCCCUCGCAGGGGCCCUCCCCAUGCUCUGUGUCAGUCCAGGCCAGGGAGAGCCCGAGUGUGC